rnacentral:rRNA from 1 species
AACGAACGCUGGCGGCGUGCUUAACACAUGCAAGUCGAACGGUUCGUCCCUUGGGGGUACACGAGUGGCGAACGGGUGAGUAACACGUGGGUGAUCUGCCCUGCACUUCGGGAUAAGCCUGGGAAACUGGGUCUAAUACCGGAUAGGACCACUGCCUGCAUGGGUGGUGGUGGAAAGCUUUUGCGGUGUGGGAUGGGCCCGCGGCCUAUCAGCGUGUUGGUGGGGUGAUGGCCUACCAAGGCGACGACGGGUAGCCGGCCUGAGAGGGUGACCGGCCACACUGGGACUGCGAUACGGAGCAGACUUCUACGGUAGGAAGUAGUGGGGAAGAUUGCACAGUGGGGGCAAGCCUGAUGCAGCGACGCCGCGUGAGGGAUGACGGCCUUCGGGUUGUAAACCUCUUUCAGCACCGACGAAGCGCAAGUGACGGUAGGUGCAGAAGAAGGACCGGCCAACUACGUGCCAGCCGCCGCCGUAAAAC